GACAGAGGGUGCAAACGUUGUUCGGAAUUACUGGGCGUAAAGCGCGUGUAGGCGGCUCUGCAAGUCGGGUGUGAAAUCCCACGGCUCAACCAUGGAAGUGCACUCGAAACUGCAGGGCUAGAGUCCUGGAGAGGAAGGUGGAAUGCUUGGUGUAGAGGUGAAAUUCGUAGAUAUCAAGCGGAACACCGGUGGCGAAGGCGGCCUUCUGGACAGUGACUGACGCUGAGGCACGAAAGCGUGGGGAGCAAACAGG
rnacentral:rRNA from 1 species